rnacentral:rRNA from 1 species
AGUUCUUCCGAAUUAGAGACCGGCGCACGGGUGCGUAACGCGUAUGCCAUCUACCUUUUACAGAGGGAUAGCCCAGAGAAAUUUGGAUUAAUACCUCAUAGCAUUAUGAAGUGGCAUCACUUUAUAAUUAAAGUCACAACGGUAAAAGAUGAGCAUGCGUCCCAUUAGCUAGUUGGUAAGGUAACGGCUUACCAAGGCUACGAUGGGUAGGGGUCCUGAGAGGGAGAUCCCCCACACUGGUACUGAGACACGGACCAGACUCCUACGGGAGGCAGCAGUGAGGAAUAUUGGUCAAUGGGCGCAAGCCUGAACCAGCCAUGCCGCGUGCAGGAUGACGGUCCUAUGGAUUGUAAACUGCUUUUGUACGGGAAGAAACAGCGAUUCGUGAAUCGCCUUGACGGUACCGUAAGAAUAAGGAUCGGCUAACUCCGUGCCAGCAGCCGCGGUAAUACGGAGGAUCCAAGCGUUAUCCGGAAUCAUUGGGUUUAAAGGGUCCGUAGGCGGUUUGGUAAGUCAGUGGUGAAAGCCCAUCGCUCAACGGUGGAACGGCCAUUGAUACUGCCAGACUUGAAUUAUUAGGAAGUAACUAGAAUAUGUAGUGUAGCGGUGAAAUGCUUAGAGAUUACAUGGAAUACCAAUUGCGAAGGCAGGUUACUACUAAUGGAUUGACGCUGAUGGACGAAAGCGUGGGUAGCGAACAGGAUU